rnacentral:lncRNA from 1 species
UAUGAUGACAGUAAGCCUUUAUCAAUUCCUGAACAUGCUGAGUUAGAACUUUUAUUCAGGUGGAAAAGUUGAUAGUUUCUUUGGAAAAGGAAAUCAAUGAAUCGGAGGCAAACAUAGAUGGACAAAUAAUGAAUAAACAAUCAUUGAUAUUGGUUAUUAAUACCAACCUUGAUUUGAUCUAAGCAAAUAAUCCAACCUUGCC